rnacentral:lncRNA from 1 species
GCCACGUGAAGGAUGUGUUUGCUUCCCCUUCCACCAUGAUUGUAAGUUUCCUGAGGCCUCCCCAGCCAUGUGGAACUGUGAAUUAAACUUCUUUCCUGGAGUGUGAAAAUGAACUAAUAAACUCUGUGACCUCAGAGACUCCCUCUCAGUGACCCUGUUCUCAAAUGUAUGAAGAUGGGUGCUCAAAGAUCUCUCUCUAAACAUGGAACAGGGCCUGUCUGAAGACAUAAGUGAUUAACUUCUAAUCUAUAACUAAGGUCUGAGUCCUGAAGACCUUCCUCUGGAGGCUGAGUAGUUAAUCUAGAUGGGUCCAGGUGCUGCAGGUAAAAUACCUCUUUUCUGACAAGACUAGGACUCUUACAUAGACUACCAUGAACUAAAAGAAGCACAACAUUGCCAGAGUAACCUGUGAUACUGUCUUCAUGCGAACUUGGUAUCCUGUUUCCAUCCCAGCCUUCUAUAACCCAGUAACAUCUUUUUUGAAACCAGUGGGUGAGAAAGACACCUGGUCAGGAACGCGGACCACAGGACAACUCAGGCUCACCCACGGCAUCAGACUAAAGGCAAACAAGGACUCUGUAUAAAGUACCGGUGGCAUGUGUAUUAGUGGAGAUGCAGCCUGUGCUCUGCAGACAGGGAGUCACACAGACACUUUUCUAUAAUUUCUUAAGUGCUUUGAAUGUUCAAGUAGAAAGUCUAACAUUAAAUUUGAUUGAACAAUUGUAUAUUCAUGGAAUAUUUUGGAACGGAAUACCAAAAAAUGGCAAUAGUGGUUCUUUCUGGAUGGAAGACAAACUUUUCUUCUUUAAAAUAAAUUUUAUUUUAUAUAUUUGAGGUUGACCACAUGACCUUAAGGAUACAUAUAGACAGUAAACUGGUUACUACAGUGAAGCAAAUUAACAUAUCUACCAUCGUACAUAGUUACAUUUUUUUGUGUGACAGGAACAGCUAAAAUCUACGUAUUUAACAAAACUCCUAAAGACAAUACAUUUUUAUUAACUAUAGCCCUCAUGAUGUACAUUAGAUCUCUAACUUGAUCAUCCUAUAUGUCUGCUACUUUGUAUUUUCUUAAUGUACGUCUCCCCAUUUGCUAUUGGUCAUUUCCUAUUUGGCUCAUUUUUCAACUGGGUUGUUUUCCUGUUAUUAAAAGAGUUCUUUACUGA